rnacentral:rRNA from 1 species
GGGCCCGCACAAGCGGUGGAGUAUGUGGUUUAAUUCGAUGCAACGCGAAGAACCUUACCAGGGCUUGACAUCCUGCGAAUCUCUGGGAAACCGGAGAGUGCCUUCGGGAACGCAGUGACAGGUGGUGCAUGGCUGUCGUCAGCUCGUGUCGUGAGAUGUUGGGUUAAGUCCCGCAACGAGCGCAACCCACGUCUUUAGUUGCCAGCAUUUAGUUGGGCACUCUAGAGAGACCGCCGGUGACAAACCGGAGGAAGGUGUGGAUGACGUCAAGUCAUCAUGCCCCUUACGUCCUGGGCUACACACGUACUACAAUGGCGGUGACAAUGGGCAGCGACAGGGCGACCUGAAGCAAAUCCCUAAAAACCGUCCCAGUUCGGAUUGUACUCUGCAACUCGAGUGCAUGAAGUCGGAAUCGCUAGUAAUCGC